AGUGUUGGAAUCCAUGGCAAAUGACAAUAAUAAAGAAACAACGCUUGGCUUUUUUGGUCCUCUCUUCAGCAUUAUAGAAGGUUCUCAGGUGAAGCGCCAAGUAUGUCACUGAAAGCCCAGUGGAGUUAAGUGUGCAAAGUCAGUCUGAACAUAUGCUGUAAUGGAUUUGACCUCGAAUAGCACUACAAAGAGAAAUUGCAGAUAACCAUCUGAACUGACUUCUGAAGCUUGUAGUUCUGGCUCCUGAGAUACAGAGAGAAAAGUGAGACCAAACAGGUGGGAGCAAACAACUCAGAGAGACCAGAAUGAAUACGAG
rnacentral:lncRNA from 1 species